GAUGAACGCUGACGGCGUGCCUAAUACAUGCAAGUCGAGCGAACGGACGAGAAGCUUGCUUCUCUGAUGUUAGCGGCGGACGGGUGAGUAACACGUGGAUAACCUACCUAUAAGACUGGGAUAACUUCGGGAAACCGGAGCUAAUACCGGAUAAUAUUUUGAACCGCAUGGUUCAAAAGUGAAAGACGGUCUUGCUGUCACUUAUAGAUGGAUCCGCGCUGCAUUAGCUAGUUGGUAAGGUAACGGCUUACCAAGGCAACGAUGCAUAGCCGACCUGAGAGGGUGAUCGGCCACACUGGAACUGAGACACGGUCCAGACUCCUACGGGAGGCAGCAGUAGGGAAUCUUCCGCAAUGGGCGAAAGCCUGACGGAGCAACGCCGCGUGAGUGAUGAAGGUCUUCGGAUCGUAAAACUCUGUUAUUAGGGAAGAACAUAUGCGUAAGUAACUGUGCACAUCUUGACGGUACCUAAUCAGAAAGCCACGGCUAACUACGUA
rnacentral:rRNA from 1 species